CCUACUGGUCACCCCCCAAAAUUACAGCGCACACAGGCUUUGCUCUGGAGGUUGGGUUAAGAGAGUACCAGGAUCCGGUGGGUUGGACCAGCCAGGGAAGCCUUCCUGAAAGAGGUCCAUUCUGACAGGAAAGCACUUUCAGCCAUUACACAAACACAGAUUACAUGAUUGCAGUCAGGAGAUCCAGGGUGGAAGUUGGAGUCUGACCUCAAAUGUGGAUGCUACCGAUCUCCUGGAUUCCCCAGCCAUGAAAACAAAACACAAUCAAGUCCUGCCUUUGUAGCCUUAUUAACUGAAUUGUCCAGAUGGAAGUCUUGGGUGGACACAAUUCAUUGUCUUCUUGCUUGCUACUGUUCUACUGGCUGGAGGCACCACAGAAAGACUCUGCAAGCCCAGCACCCAUCCUUUCAUCCCUCUGCUUCCUAACCACAUAUAGGAAGAUACCGAGGGCCUCUUCACCUUAGCCUGCUGCCCCAAGUCUUCACAGAGCUGGAGAGGUGGCCAGCACCAGCAGGGACUGAGUGGAAUAGGAAUCAACUCCUUGCACAUCAGAGCAGCUUCCUUUGGAGGUCUGUGAGGUUUCCAAGUCAAAUGCGGGGAGCAGGAGACACAGCGUGGGCGUUCCGAGGGAGCACAAGGAUGACGGAUGCCUCUGUUCCUCCACAUUAGCAAUGCACAUUGCGUAGAAUUAACUGCAAGCUUCCCUGAGAAGAGGGGGACUGGGCAGAGAAGAGUUGGAACGAUCUGAAUGCUAAAUGCAACUUGGUUUCUAAAAUGAGUGUGGUGGACAUAGAUCAUCUGCUGAACUUCCUUUAACCUUCGGCUCCCUGGGUGCAAAUGCUGGGUCGUAACUCUUCAAAUUAGCCAGCCCAGUCUACUCAUGUUACUGAAACCUCAGAGAAACGAUGCAGGGGUUUAGUAUUCAAACAGAGUCCAAGGAUCUGCACAGGGCAUAAAGGGCCUGAAUCUGACCCACACCUUCUUUUCAGAUACUUUCAAAACAAUGUAUUUAUUCAUGUA